rnacentral:lncRNA from 1 species
AUCUUCAAUGGCCGAGAGUGACCAUACUAGGGUUCCUGUUGAACCUUUUUGGAAUCAAGGGGAAGAGGCUACGAGCUCGAUUGGAGGCCGAAUCUUGACCAAGAAAGGAGAGGGAUACAAGGCUGAAGCAUAAGGGAGUCUGGAUUGAGUGAUGAGGGAGGCAGGAAGUUCAUCUCUGCAAAGGAAGAGCAACAAUGAGAAGGU